ACACAUAAUGUAAUAAUUACCACAGUCAAAUUAAUAUAUCACUACUCAGAGUUACGUGUGUGUGUGUGCGUUUGCCUCUGUAGAUACAGACAGGUGUAUCUCUCUCUAGGACCUUGGGUGGGCAAGACUGCUCUGAGACUGCAGCUGAGGGAGGCUAGAGCCAAGUUACAAAGCUAUUUCAAGAUCCUUAGUGAAACUGAUAUAAGGAGG
rnacentral:lncRNA from 10 species